GAACGUGACCUAGAGACCAGUGGUGGAAGACCCGGUUGGAGGAGGCCAGGGAGGGGCAGGGGUUCUACCCGCCCGAGCCCAGACUACUUUUGGGCAUUCUGUUUCGUUGGGGACAGUCCCCUUUGUCUCUCUGCAGAACUCAUGGCUGCGCAAGGGCAGGGUCACGGGCCUGUCCGCCCAGCUAGCGACUCCCCCAAAGCGGUCUGUCCGGUGAGGAGAUGGAGGGACAGAGAAGUGAGAAUGUACCCUAGAUCUCACAGCUGGCAAAUGGAUAAGCCCUCCCCACACUCCAGGGAUUGGCCUUGCUGCAGGAUCUCCCUGCUCCUCCCCACCAGGAAUAGUCGCAAGAUGGGUCAGUCACAAUAAUACACAGCGGUGCCUUCCUCAAAGUCUGGUUCAUCUGGUCUCUCUGGUCUCAUCAUUUGCAGCCUUUCCUCUCCCAGAAGAAGAGUCUACAUAUGUACGUGCGUGUGUGUGCGUGUGUGUGUGUGUGUGUGUGUGUGUGUGUGUAGGGGCUAUAUUCAGUCCUUUACACUGCCCCCCCCCGCCUCGCCUGAUGCGUGCGCGUGCACACACACACUCACUGGACCCCUUCCUCACUGUAAGCUAUUCCAAAGGCCUCAGCCCUCAGCCCCUUGGACAAAUAGCUAUCAUGGAGGGCUGUGUGGCAAAGUCUGACACCAUGAACCCAUCCCUGCCCUGGCCCAGCUAUCCCAAACAGUGAAUUCUCCCAUCAGUGUGCAAGUGGUUGCUGGAAAAUGAGCAGCAUUCUGAGUCUCUUGGGUUGAAUGAACAGUUGCAAAACAUCUGUCUAUGAUGGACCUACGAGGGAAAUAUGUGUGCUUGUGUAAGCAUUGGCAUUGGUGGUGGAGACUGCAAAGGGACAGGCGUCGCCAUUGCUUACUUCUUACAUUUCCCUAUGGUUUGAAUUUAUUAUAAUAGGCAAGUUUUACUUAUGCAAUUAAAAUUUGAAUUAAAAAGAGAUCAGUUUAAAAAUAUAAUUUUAGGGGUGCCUGGGUGGCUCAGUCAGUUAAGCAUCUGCCUUCGGCUCAGGUCAUGAUCCCAGGG